CUCGUAGGCGGCUUGUCGCGUCUGCUGUGAAAUCCCGGAGCUCAACUCCGGGCCUGCAGUGGGUACGGGCAAGCUAGAGUGCGGUAGGGGAGAUUGGAAUUCCUGGUGUAGCGGUGGAAUGCGCAGAUAUCAGGAGGAACACCGAUGGCGAAGGCAGAUCUCUGGGCCGCUACUGACGCUGAGGAGCGAAAGCAUGGGGAGCGAACA
rnacentral:rRNA from 1 species